ACAUAGAAAAGACAGUCUGCAUAUGAUUCUGGAGCUGUAGUCUGUCUCUUCUCUGUCA
rnacentral:pre_miRNA from 1 species